rnacentral:rRNA from 1 species
GAUGAACGCUAGCGGCGUGCCUUAUACAUGCAAGUCGAACGAAGCGGGGACGGGUGAGUAACACGUGGAUACCCCCCUAUAAGACUGGGUUAACUUCGGGAAACCGAAGCUAAACCGGAUACUUCUCGAUGUAUCCGCGGUGCAUUAGCUAGUUGUUAAGGUAACGGCGUACCAAGGCAAAGAUGCAUAGCUGACCUGAGCGGGGGAUCGGCCACACUGGGACGGAGACACGGGUCAGACUCCUACGGGAGGCAGCAGUAGGGAAUCUUUCACAAUGGGCGAAAGCCUGACGGAGCAAUGCCGCGUGAGUGAUGAAGGUCUUCGGAUCGUAAAACUCUGUUAUUAGGGAAGCGGUACCUAAUCAGAAAGCAACGGCUAACUACGUGCCAGCAGCCGCGGUAAUAC